rnacentral:lncRNA from 1 species
GUUAUUCGACGAACGAUCUUAACGGUUCCAUGAAAUCUAUAAAUACCCCCAUUCAUUUGUUGCAACUCACACCAUUGAAUCUAAUUUCAUCUCUCUAGGUUGAAGUAUCUACUUCAUACCUGAGAGUAAUCGAAUCAAAGCUUCCGUUCUUGGACCCGUUGUGCUGUUAUGUGAUGAUUGUUGGUGCAUACUACACUUAGAAUGGACUCGUGCCUUAGCGACUUUAAAAUUUGAAAGAUAAUAGUUGUACUUGUUUGAUUGUAUUAAAACAAUGAGUUCAUUUAUUCAAUAAAAGGAAAUUAUCUAUUCCAUGGUUGUGAAACAAUGAUUCUGUUACAACACUCCCCGAUGUUUCCGCCACAUUUUGUUGUUUUACGUGGUCGGGAUGUGACACAAGUCAUUGUUUCACACCAGUACUAUAUAAAUUUCAAAUAA